rnacentral:rRNA from 1 species
AUGGCAACAAAUAUAACAAUCGGAGACGGUCGAACGUCAAAUUUCUGGAAUGACCGCUGGCUGCAUAGAUCGUGCCCAAAGACGAUUGCCCCAUCACUAUUCCAGAUCUCGACGCGAAAUAACCGCUCAGUCUGGGAUGCUCUGAAGAAUGAGACAUGGUUGCAUGACCUAUCUAGGGGACUCUCUAAGCAUAUGGUCUCGGAGCUCACUGAACUAGCUGCACUGCUCGAUAAUGUAGAGCUGGUUGAGGGCCAAGCUGACACCAUUGCCUGGAGGUUUGAACAAAACCAAGAGUACAGCGCAUGCUCGGCCUACCGCUUGCAAUUCGUCGGCUCGAUCCCCAUGGAUGGUUACAAAUUGAUCUGGUCCGGAUGGGCCCCUGGCAAGUGCCGGUUCUUCAUGUGGACUGUCAUGCUCGACAGAAUUUUGACUGCUGAUGCGCUUUUGCGUCGCGGAUGGGAAAAUGAUUACUUCUGCAUGCUCUGUGAGCGGAGUUUAGAAACCCCAUCUCAUCUUCUCAUCGAGUGCCCCUGGUCCAGAACCAUUUGGGAGUCCUUCGCCACGCUUGCAGAUAUGCCUGCUCUCUGCCCGGCGAAUUGGACAGGCGACACUAAGUUUGCGCGUUGGAUUCAGAGAUGCCACGACAACACGGCGAGGGAAAAGAAAAAGGGACUGCUUUCCUUAGUGCACAUGAUUGCUUGGGAAAUUUGGAAGGAGCGGAAUCGACGGAUCUUCCAAAAGGAAUUCUUGACUCUGGAAAGCUUCAGGCGUAAGAUUAGGGACGAGAUCAGGUUGUGGAAUUUGGCAGGUGCUGGGAUCCCCUUUGAUCCGGGCUGA